GAAAAUUAAAUAGCCGCAGUUUUGUGCUAAGGUAGCAUAAUCAUUUGCCUAAUAAUUAUAGGAUAGAAUGAAAGGUGACACAUGUUAUCUUCUUUAUUAAAAAGGGUAUUUUAAAUUAACUUUUAAGUAAAAACACUUAAAUAAUUAGAGGGACGACAAGACCCUGACGAACUUCACACUAUUGUUUAGCUGGGGCGGCAGACAAAUUAAAUCUUUUCUUCCCUUUUCCCAACAGAUCCUUAAACCUGAUAAUCAAGUUACCGCAGGGAUAACAGCAUAAUCCUUUCCUGAAGACCGUAUAUAAGAAAGUAUUUGUGACCUCGAUGUUGAAUUAAAAAUCUAUUAGAGGCAGCACUCUAACUAGAGAGUCUGUUCGACUCUUAAAUAUUU
rnacentral:rRNA from 1 species